rnacentral:rRNA from 1 species
UGAGCAAUCUGCCCUUCUCAUCGGAAUAAGCGUUGGAAACGACGUCUAAUGCCGAAUACGUCCUCCUUUCGCAUGAUCGGAGGUGGAAAGCUCCGGCGGAGAAGGAUGAGCUCGCGGCCUAUCAGCUAGUUGGUGUGGGUAAUGGCCCACCAAGGCGACGACGGGUAGCCGGCCUGAGAGGGUGACCGGCCACACUGGGACUGAGACACGGCCCAGACUCCGUACGGGAGCA